AACACAUCAACACAAAAGCAUAGUCACCAAUGCAUUGUUUUCAGGUCUUAAUUAAGCGGUAUGGACCCUACGAAGAGGUUAAAUAUAGUUCACGAAUCAAAACGGGCUAAAAUGAGAAUUUUUAGAAAAUAGGCCUAAUUGGCCUAGACCGUGUAGCUCACACGGUCUAGCACAUGGCCGUGUGGCAUCGACAGUUCCAAUUUCAGCCUUUUCCUAUCGUUUUUACUUUUCUUAAAAUACUAACCAAACAAAAUAUGACCAACUUAAUAAGCCACAUACAAUCCCAAUUUGGCAAUAAAACGCUUACCCAAGGACGAAAUCAGCACCCUCACAGUCUUAAUUCUUCGAUCGGUUAAUCACCUCGC
rnacentral:lncRNA from 1 species